rnacentral:lncRNA from 1 species
CUGAUAGGCAAGGAGCCCUUUGAAACGGAACUGUGUGACAUGGCAAGAACACAGCCAGGCCACCCCUGUGCCCGAUGGUCUGUGGUGCUGUGUGAGCCCAGGGCACGGCCCCAGGGGUCCUGGGGGUCCCACAGGUGUGGUGCAUGCAGGGAGAGGAAGCAGAGUCCGUGCUGCCUUGCUGGAGUUGCUGUGCUGCAGUGCUGAAGGGGAUAUUACUGCCGUCAUAAGGUGGGAACUUUUCCUGCCCAGCUCUCCUUAUGGGAUAUGGUCCUGACAGCCCGGCCAGGGUCAGUAUGGGAUGAGGGUGAGUAUAUAGCAGCAGCGGGGCUGCCCCAAAGCAGAAGGGCACUGAGGGGUGUGAAGGCACCUCAGGGUCUUCUCUGAACCCAACACGGAGCACUGAGUGCACGAUCUACUGAGCUGCUUAUCUUUGGGUCUGAUAACAGCAUGCCGAGCAGCGCGAUGUGUGGAUAUAUUUGCAGAUGAUUAAUAUUAGCAGAUACAUUGCACUUAUUGAGGGUAAUAAUUCAGUGGUAAUUUACUGCUGGGAAUGAUGGGAAAGCCUCCUCAAGGCCCCGGGUCACAGAGGGAAGGUGGUGCAGCCCCCAGCAGGGAGGGGGGUGGUUUGUGGGUGCUGUUGCUGGUGGGCAGCGCUCCCAUCCCAUCCCUCCUUUCAUUCCAUCCCUCUGACCUGUGGAGCCAUGUGAUGGAGAUGUGGGGCUCACCUGAAAGGCAGCCAUCAGCUGCCGUGGGGAUCAGCAGCGUUAUCAGGGCAGGAAUGAGGAACACCACGUCCUGGAGGGAGACGGUGGCAUUAUUUACAGCACUGGGCUGAAGAAGGGAAUGCAGAGUGGAGCUGGGAGGCUCAGCACCACGUAGGAUAUUUUGUGGUGUGAACGUAGAGCUGCAAAGAGCUUUCUGGGUAUCUCCUGUGCCCCGUGUGCUCGUGGCCUUUACUGCCUUCCUCAGCCCCAAAGGCAAGGGAGGGUGGGGAGAGAUGAGCCCAUGGCCCCUGCAAGCCUACAGCCCUAUGGUGACACAUGGUGACAUAUGGUGUUGGUUGACCUUCUUAUGGGAAACCCGUGGACCAGGAGGGCAGGGAGGGCACGGUGUGAUCCGAACAAGUGAGUCUCCAAAUGGAGGGGUUUGCAGCACAGUGCUCCCCAUCCUGGGGGGCAGAGCCUCAGUCCCAUAGAGGACACAGAUGGGGCCGGAGGCAUCGCCCUGCUGACUGCCCGUCCUGCUCUGCCUCGGGUGACCUUGAGCAUGGGCUGUUAUCUCACUUGUGAAAUAGGCACAAGAUAGCUGCCUCCUCUGAGGGAACGCAACGCGUGAGCAUCAGCAGAAGCGCCGGGAGCGGGGAGCAGCCCCGACCCAC